rnacentral:rRNA from 1 species
UACGUAGGAGGCAAGCGUUGUCCGGAGUUACUGGCGUAAAGCGCACGCAGGCGGUCGUGUCAGUCUGGGGUGACAGUUUCCGGCUUAACCGGAAAAGGACUCUGGAAACUGCACGACUUGAGGGCUUCAGAGGGAUGUGGAAUUCCAGGUGGAGUGGUGAAAUGCGUAGAGAUCUGGAAGAACACCAAAGGCGAAGGCAAGCAUCCUGG